rnacentral:tRNA from 1 species
GGCAGUGUGGCCUAGUGGGUAGAGCACUGGACUGAGACUCAGGAGACCUGGGUCUAUUCCCAGCUGUGCCA